ensembl:lncRNA
AUUUGAAGCAGAGAAAAGUGUCUGUGAAUGUUUAUGAGACCCACUGGAGCUGUUACAGUGUGAGCUGCUAAAAUGUGUGCAUAUUUGUCCAUUUAGCUCUCUUUAGGUCUGUGUACAGCUGUGCUGCUUUACCUUCUUAACUGUAAAAUUACAUGACUGAGCAGCGUUUUACAGUCCAGUUAGACUCCUUUGUCUCUGUGGAUACAGGCAGAAAUACAUCUGGUCAGAGCCUAAUACAAGAAAGGCUUUACUGCUGUCUUUGCUUGCUUGUUUUCGAGGGCAAACUCGAACAGGGAUACAUUUAGCGUUUGGGGGAGUUCACAAAGUUUUCACGAAUGAGUGGCAAGGAGGCCGUUAGGGAACCAGUGAGUGACCUACUACUUUAUUUAUUUACUGAUAAUGUGUUGUAUUUGGUCAUCUGGGAAGGUUCAUCAGCUUUGAUGGCCAUAACUUUGGUCUUGUUCACCUCUGAGAACCUGAGGUUUUGCCUUCCUGUGGUGAUUCUUUUUAUUUUUAUCUUAGCUUUAUCUAAACGUAGUAUAACUCCCUGUAUUUAUCCAAUGAUUGUGUUGUUAGUUUCUUUUUUUCUUUGAGAUUUGAUUUUUGUGUUUGUUGAAUUUUUGGAUUCCUGUUUUGAUUUUUUGAUCUUCAUUCCUUGGAGCUCUGCUUUGGUUCUUGUGUUUCUAGCGCCCUCAUUGUUUCCCUCUCUCUUUGUUUCUGCACGAGCUCCUCUGAUCUCUUGUGUUUCCUUUUUUAUGCCAUCUUGUUUGGUGUUAGUCUCAGUGUUCUUUCCUUUUGGCUGUUUCCUGUUUUACUUUAACAAUUUGAUAAUUGUUUUCUUUUGUGUGAUGUUUUGGGUUUCACUUCCCAAUAUUUUAUUCUUCAUAUAGUCACAAUUCCUCUUUUUCCCUGAUCCUUAAACAGCAGUAAAGUGCAAAUAUAUUAAUACACACUACAAACUAAGUUCAAGACCUUUUUAUACUAAAAGAUAAAACUUGUUUGUUCAACUUGAUAGGGAAGUGCUACAGAAAUAUCACCAGACAGAGCUGUAAGUCUACUGAAUUCCUCCCCGUGUCACUGUGGCUGCACUUCAAGUCACACAACUAUGAAGUCAACAUACCAACUUAUCCUUAUUUUUAUGUACAUAUUACAUAAACAUACAAAUAAAAAUGAUGACAUCACCAUUGAUUUCAUAUACCAUCACUGCUGUUUUUGUGUCUUUGCAAUUAUUAUUAUUGUGCCGUGUGAUCAGCCAAUAUUUACAGUGCUGUGAAAAAGUAUCUUUCCUCUUUUUGAUUUCUUAGUUUUUUUUUGUUUGUUUUUGUUUGAUUUGUUUUGUUUCAGAUCAUCAGACAAGGAUAACCCAAUGAAAUACAGAUUUUAUAUUUUUACAUUUAUUAAGGAAAAAUGGUAUCCAAACCAACCUGACAUUACCUGACAAAGUAAUUGCCCCCUCUUGUUAAAUCAUGAAUUAACCGAUUCACUGUGUGCAUGCCCAGGACUGGCUGCCUGACAAGAUAAAGUAGGCUAAAAGCAACAGAUCCUGCACUCCAGGUUCCUCUUUGUCUUUUGUUUGUUCAGUUUUGUUCGAGCAGAACUAAACUAAACUAAAACCUAGGAUUUUAGUUUUUGUCUGAUUUUUGCAUUUUGAGGUAAAACUAAAACCUAUUUGUUUCAAAACUACAAUUUGAUAUUAAUACUUUCAAUACUGUUUUAA